rnacentral:rRNA from 1 species
GACGAACGCUGGCGGCGUGCUUAACACAUGCAAGUCGAACGGAAAGGCCCUGCUUGCAGGGUACUCGAGUGGAGAACGGGUGAGUAACACGUGGGUGAUCUGCCCUACACUUCGGGAUAAGCCUGGGAAACUGGGCCUAAUACCUGAUAUGACCUUCCAUGUAGUGCGGGGGGUGGAAAGAUUUAUCGGUGUGGGAUGAGCCUGCGGCCUAUCAGCUUGUUGGUGGGGUAAUGGCCUACCAAGGCGUCGACGGGUAGCCGGCCUGGGAGGGUGGACGGCCACCUUAGGACUGAGAUACGCACCAGACUGCUACGUGAGGCAGCAGUGGGGAGUCUUGCACAAUGAGCGGACGCCUGUUGCAGCGGCGCCGCGUGGGGGAUGACGGCCUUCGGGUUGUAAACCACUUUCGACAGGGACGAAGCUUCGGUGACGGUACCUGUAUAAGAAGCACCGGCUAACUACGUG